UACGUAGGCAGCGAGCGUUGUUCGGAGUUACUGGGCGUAAAGGGUGUGUAGGCGGUUGUUUAAGUUUGAUGUGAAAUCUCCCGGCUCAACUGGGAGGGUGCGCCGAAUACUGAGCGACUAGAGUGCGGGAGAGGAAAGUGGAAUUCCUGGUGUAGCGGUGAAAUGCGUAGAUAUCAGGAGGAACACCGGUGGUGUAGACGGCUUCUGGACCGUAACUGACGCUGAGACACGAAAGCGUGGGUAGCAAACAGG
rnacentral:rRNA from 1 species